CAGGACUGCCCCCGCAAGGAUGUUCUAGGAGAGAAGCCUGCACUUUCCUGCUACCCAGGCCGGUGACUGCCACAGCCAGGAAUAAACCAAACUGUCAGCAAAGAAGGAGGAAGAGAAACUCCUGAGUGGGGCUGGACAGGGGGCUGUGUGGGCAGAGGCCACACAAUGUCACUCCAGCCGCUGCAGAAGGCAUCAAACGGAUUCACCAUCCUGGUUGCCUCUGAUAAUUUUUUUUUUUUCCUUUUUGGAAGCUGGAGAUCCCCGUGCCAAGCCCUCAAAGCAGCCUGCCUUUCCAUGCAAUAAAGCAGCAGUGAGAAAGGCUCAGAGUAAUUAAGUGGCUGACGCACAGAAGAAGCCGUUACAAAGAAUUGACUAAAUUGCCCAUUCAUUAGCAGCUCGGCAUGGAAGGAGAAUUACAAAUAGGCGGCGGAGCCCGCAGUAAUUCAAUCUAACCUUGUACUUACAGAAAACAAUGAGAUAAUGAAC
rnacentral:lncRNA from 1 species